rnacentral:rRNA from 1 species
AACGAACGCUGGCGGCAGGCUUAACACAUGCAAGUCGAGCGCCCCGCAAGGGGAGCGGCAGACGGGUGAGUAACGCGUGGGAAUCUACCAUCUCUACGGAAUAACGCAUGGAAACGUGUGCUAAUACCGUAUACGUCCUUCGGGAGAAGGAUUUAUCGGAGAUGGAUGAGCCCGCGUUGGAUUAGCUAGUUGGUGGGGUAAAGGCCUACCAAGGCGACGAUCCAUAGCUGGUCUGAGAGGAUGAUCAGCCACACUGGGACUGAGACACGGCCCAGACUCCUACGGGAGGCAGCAGUGGGGAAUAUUGGACAAUGGGCGCAAGCCUGAUCCAGCCAUGCCGCGUGAGUGAUGAAGGCCCUAGGUUUGUAAAGCUCUUUCACCGGUGAAGAUAAUGACGGUAACCGGAGAAGAAGCCCCGGCUAACUUCGUGCCAGCCGCCGCCGUAAUAC